rnacentral:lncRNA from 1 species
GGGAUCGGGGAGCAACUGAAGGCCUGGCUGCUGGAAUGCUCCUGAAACACAUUAGGAACAUUGAUAAUACUUGAAUCAUUGUGGGUGACCUUGGGCUUCUGGAGCUUUAAGGAACAAAGUUAAGUGACACAUCCCGUUACAGAAAAAGGAUUACUCUGGAAGCUGUGUGCAGAAGAGUCUGAAGGCAGGGUUGGAACUUACUGGGAAAUGACGAGAACAGGGAGAGCCAGCUAGGAGACUCACCGGACUCCAGCCAAGAGCCAAAGGAAUCUGAAGAGAAGAUGGCAAAAGAGUCUGAGAGGCAGUGGCCAGAAGGAGAAGGAAAGCAGGUGGAUGUGAAGAAAGUGUUCAACGUGGAGGGAGGAACCAGCCAUGUCAAAUGAUGCUGACAGCCAGGAAGCUGAGGCAUCACCCGAGAAGAAGGCUCAGCGAGUCCGUGUAAGGCAAGCGGGACUGUAAGCUCCAUGAGGACAGGAACCUUGUCUCUUGUUCGCCAUCGCCCCGCUGUGUGAGCACAGUGCUAGGGAUGUACUAGGUGUUCAAAAGGCAUAUAUU